AUGGAGAAAAAGCAGGGGGAUCUUCGGACCUUGCGCUAUUGGAUGAGCCUAUGUCGGAUUAGUUAGUUGGUGGGGUAAAGGCCUACCAAGGCGACGAUCCGUAGCUGGUCUUAGAGGAUGAUCAGCCACAUCGGGACUGAGACACGGCCCGAACUCCUACGGGAGGCAGCAGUGGGGAAUAUUGCACAAUGGGCGCAAGCCUGAUGCAGCUAUGCCGCGUGUGUGAAGAAGGCCUUAGGGUUGUAAAGCACUUUCAGUAGUGAGGAAAAGUGUUGUGUUAAUAGCGCAAUGCUGUGACGUUAGCUACAGAAGAAGGACCGGCAAACUCCGUG
rnacentral:rRNA from 1 species